GGGGGAGGUGUGUUACUUUGCUUAAGUUGAGAGGUUUGCCUACCACCAAGCUAAUUACCCUAUGGGUGUCCACAUGAUUUAAACACCUAUCGUGAAGCUAAACAAUGUCCCAUCCAACUUCACAUAUUAAGAAGAUAAGUUGAUGUUACCGCAGAGAACAUUAUUGCAUUCUGACGGAAAUUUAGCAGAUCUGUAACUGAUCUGUGUUACACUAGAGAAAUAUGUGGUACCAAAGAAAAACAAAAAAAAUUUAACAUGGCCAAUGCAUUCAAACAAGCAAUGUUUGGCCGUUUUUAGCUGGACUCAAUAAAUGCAUGAAUAAAACAUUCUGGUGACGGGAGAGGUUGGUAAAUGCAGUGUAGUCAAAUGUGAGCUGAGCAGUUAUUUAGGCACAUGGGUGAGGGUAACAGCCAAGUGUGGUAAUCUGCCAAAGAUGGAGUAAAUUUUGCUCCUCCACUGAAACACUGGGUUACAGGUUGGGGACAGUUGCAUUCGAGAAGAGGGUAAGGGAUGGCUAAAUCCGCUACUACUCUGGCACAUUGCCAUUCCUAACACUGCUCUACCAUGUUUCUGUUCCUACCAGAAACUAUAUACAAAGAGAGUGAUACAUAAAAGUACUAAAACCUAGCGAGCAUGAUUGCCAAAUUGCGAUUUGAAUCGAGAAUCGAAAUCU
rnacentral:misc_RNA from 1 species